AACAACCACCAGUAUCUUAAACAUGGCUGAUCAAUUUAAACACCAACUACAGGGACAAUUCCUUAAUAUUAUCAAGUAUUUAGUUUGUGAACAACAAACUAUUAUCCAUUGUGGUCUUCUGAGAUUCCCAACGUCCUAAAGAAACAAUAUGUUGCAGGAUCAUAUCAGUUUGUCAAACAUACAAACGGCUUCAUCACAAAGGUCAAAAUAUGCAUAGCACAUGAACACUUACAUGUAAAAAACAUAACAGCGGCUAUGAAGCCUGAGCCUACCUGUCAACAGAAACCGAAGAUGAAAUGCAGUCAGAAGAAGGGAAUACAUGCUUUAUAUCAUUUAUAGUAUAGUAUCACCUAAUGGAACCUUUUGGAAAGAAACCCUGCAAAGAUUGUUCAAAACACCCUACAGGAUGCAAACAAGAGACCACAUCAUUGCCUAAGCUCUACAUGAUUACUACAGAGUGCAACUACACAGCUUUGUGUUGACGAUAUCCUACUCAAGACCUGGGAACAGCGCAGUACAAAGAAACAGAUCAUAUAAGCUACUAUACAGCAGUUGCAUGAUGGCCAAAAUGAUACACUAUGUAACUUUGCUAAUUGUAUAUUCUCAACCACUGCUGCCAUGAAAGAACAUGUUCCACUCACCACUUCUUGAAUUGACUUGUUUAUCACAUCAACAAUGUAUACAUCAAGACUACAGUAAGAUUAUGUGAUUACUAUUUUUAAAGAUUGU